rnacentral:siRNA from 1 species
AACUGCUCAACAACGUGAUAAGUC